CCUACGGGUGACUGCAGUGAGGAAUAUUGGACAAUGGGCGCGAGCCUGAACCAGCCACGUCGCGUGAGGGAUGACGGUCCUACGGUUUGUAAACCUCUUUUGCAGGGGAGCAAGCGUGCGUUCGUGAACGCGCGUCGAGAGUACCCGGAGAAAAAGCAUCGGCUAACUCCGUGACAGCCGCCGCGGUAAUACGGAGGAUGCGAGCGUUAUCCGGAUUUAUGGGGAUUAAUGGGUGCGUAGGCGGUAAGCAGAGUCAGCGGUAAAAAUGCGGUGCACAACGCCGUCGAGUCGUUGAAACUGGCGUGCUUGAGUGGGCGAGGAGUAUGCGGAAUGCGUGGUGUAGGGGUGAAAUGCAUAGAUAUCACGCAGAACUCCGAUUGCGAAGGCAGCAUACCGGCGCCCUACUGACGCUGAGGCACGAAAGCGUAGGUAGCGAACAGGAUUAGAUACCCUGGUAGUC
rnacentral:rRNA from 1 species